rnacentral:rRNA from 1 species
AGAGUUUGAUCCUGGCUCAGAACGAACGCUGGCGGCGUGGAUAAGACAUGCAAGUCGAACGGGGAACCAUUGAAGCUCGCUUUUUUGGUCUCCUAGUGGCGCACGGGUGAGUAACACGUGAGAACAUGCCCUACAGUGGGGAAUAGCCCGAGGAAACUCGGAUUAAUACCCCAUGGCUCCCGCAAGGGUAAAGAUGGCCGCAAGGCUGUCGCUGUAGGAUUGGCUCGCGGCCUAUCAGCUAGUUGGCGGGGUAACGGCCCACCAAGGCAACGACGGGUAGCUGGUCUGAGAGGACGAUCAGUCACACUGGAACUGAGACACGGUCCAGACACCUACGGGUGGCAGCAGUCGAGAAUCAUUCACAAUGGGGGAAACCCUGAUGGUGCAACGCCGCGUGGAGGAUGACGGUCUUCGGAUUGUAAACUCCUGUCAUCUGGGAGUAAGACCUGACGGUAAAUAGCCGGCAGGGUUGAUAG